ensembl:lncRNA
GCGAUAAACAAUAACAAUUAUUAUUGGCACAAAUAGUCACAUCACUGCUGAGUAACGAAUGUACCAAGAUAAGAAGUCAAGCUGUAAUUUCAGUCCUGCUAUCUUUCCAAAGAACAUGCAGCCAAGAUAACCUUACCAUUCAGCACGAUAGCCUCCUGCAAAAGCUGGGGCAGGGAGUGUUCUCACUGGGGAGGCCUCCUUUGCUCACAGGAGGUGCAAAAACAGGCAGUAAGAAGACCUACUUCAAGUCCAGGCUCCACUAACAACCAGAUUCAAAAAGAGAAUUCAUCACUUUCAAACUACUGGUUCAGGGCGCCUUGCCUCCCUCCCAAGACCAAAUGGAGCGGCAAGCCACAUACUUCAGAGUCUGACAUGAACUUACUGGAAGAUAAUCAUCACUCCAUCUGAGAAAGAUGACCGAACAAGGUAUCUACGGGAGUCACUGGAGGUAUGGACCUAAUGCUUACAACUUGGAAGCGCCAGAAAGAAAGUACAGAAGAUGCAGUGGUCAGCCCCCCACUGAUCCCAAGGACUCAAGCCAUUCACCCAAUAGAGUUUGCCCUUGUGCUCAUGAUGAAUCAUGGAACCAUCACCCUUGAAUGUGCUAUAAUUUUAAUUUUAAAGAAAUGCCCAAAGGACCAUUCAUCUCUUAGAGCACUCUUUCUUACCCACACCAUGAAGCAGUUGAUUUCUUUAUGUUCCGAUGAGUAGCCAACCUAUAAACAGGAACAUCAAGCUCUGUGAUGUCUUUUUUGCCGAGGAAUAGUGGCG